UAGAAAAUAUUUAAAGAUAAUCCCUGCCCUAUGAUUAAUUAAAUGGCUGCAGUAUUCUGACUGUGCAAAGGUAGCAUAAUAAUUAGUUUUUUAAUUAAGGACUAGCAUGAAUGGGAAUAUGAGAAAUUUAUUUUAUUUAUUUUAUUUUUAAAAAUUAAUUAUUAGGUAAUAAAGCUUAAUUAUUUUUUCGGGACGAGAAGACCCUAUAGAACUUAAAAGUUUUUUAUUUAAUUUUAUUAAUUAGUGAAAUUUUUUAACUUAAAUAUAAAUUUUUUUGUUGGGGUGAUUAAUAAAUUAAACUUUAUUUUUAAAAUUCAUUUAUAAUUGUUUAUAUGAUCCAAUUUAUUGAUUAAAAGAUAAAGUUACCUUAGGGAUAACAGCGUAAUCUUAAUGGAGAGUUCUUAUUUAUAUUAAGGUUUGCGACCUCGAUGUUGAAUUAAGAUAAGAGUAGGGGGUAG
rnacentral:rRNA from 1 species